rnacentral:rRNA from 1 species
UACGUAGGGGGCUAGCGUUGUCCGGAAUCAUUGGGCGUAAAGCGCGUGUAGGCGGCCCGGUAAGUCCGCUGUGAAAGUCGGGGGCUCAACCCUCGAAUGCCGGUGGAUACUGUCGGGCUCGAGUACGGAAGAGGCGAGUGGAAUUCCUGGUGUAGCGGUGAAAUGCGCAGAUAUCAGGAGGAACACCGAUUGCGAAGGCAGCUCGCUGGGACGUUACUGACGCUGAGACGCGAAAGCGUGGGGAGCAAACAGG